ensembl:miRNA sha-mir-139 sha-mir-139
GUGAUGAAUCCAUAGGUGGCCCGGGUGUAUUCUACAGUGCAUGUGUCUCCAGUGUGACUAAGGGACUGGAGAUACGGCCCUGUUGGAAUAACAACCGAAGCCCAUGUCUUCAUGGAACCUGGAAGGCUCAGGUUGAGGGAGAGGGCAAGG